rnacentral:rRNA from 1 species
UCGAGAAUUUUUCACAAUGGGCGCAAGCCUGAUGGAGCGACGCCGCGUGGGGGAUGAAUGGCUUCGGCCCGUAAACCCCUGUCAUUUGCGAUCAACCGUUAUUAUUUAAAAGAUGAUAACCUGAUAGUAGCGAAAGAGGAAGGGACGGCUAACUCUGUGCCAGCAGCCGCGGUAAUACAGAGGUCCCAAGCGUUGUUCGGAUUAACUGGGCGGAAAGGGUGCGUAGGUGGCGGGGUAAGUCGGAUGGGAAAUCUCGGAGCUCAACUCCGAAAUGGCAUUGGAAACUACCCUGCUCGAGGAUUGGAGGGGUGGCUGGAAUACUUGGUGUAGCAGUGAAAUGCGUAGAUAUCAAGUGGAACACCAGUGGCGAAGGCGAGUCCCUGGACAACUCCUGACACUGAGGCACGAAAGCUAGGGGAGCAAACA